rfam:Sugiyamaella lignohabitans strain CBS 10342 chromosome D, complete sequence.
GCUCCGUUGGCUCAGUUGGUAGAGCGUGGGUCUCAUAAUCUGAUUACUUGUUACAAGUAAGUAAUCCCAAGAUCGCCAGUUCGAGCCUGGCACGGAGCA